UUGUAUGUACUGCAGUGACAGAGAUGCUGUUUUCCCAGUUCGUAAAACUGCCACAAGGAGAGCUGACCUUUAUCUGGCUCUGAGGGAGGGAUCCUCAGAGGGAUCCUUUUGUAGUGAAAGGCAGAGUCCCCUCCACAUCUGAUAACCGGCUCGUGCUGCUGUGCAGGACUGGCUGAAGGCAGGCAUGGGAACGCACCAUUUUGGCUGAGGGGACAAGUGGGGCAGGGCAUACUCAGUGGUGGUGUGGGCUGGGGUCUGUCACUGCCCAUACAUGAGGGUUCUACUGACCUGGUGGGGUAACAAGCACAGUGUGGUAUUUUGAUGGCUGUUGUUGGCUGUGCCCUCGUAGGGAUGCCCUGACUGACACAUGGUUUGCUUCUGUGUGGAGCUGCUUCAGCAAGGGCUGCAGGAAGCGAGGAGGAAGGAGAGCAGCAAUUUUGAUUCUUCUGCAAAAGCAGCGUCCCGUGGACUCCGGCAUUAAUCAUCCACUCUCCAUGUCAGCGCGGAGCAGUGCUGCUGCAGCAAAGAGCUGGUUCCUGGAGAAGAGCUGUGUCCUUUCUCGGUGUGAUUCCCAUUGCUUUGGGAGUGGUGGCGGUGCCAGGAAGAUGUGUGCUGACCUGUGUGACACAGGUUGAAAGCGUGCACAGUUGUUCUGAAGGUGUAAUGAUUUCAAAUCAGGCGGUCAGAAUCUGGGAUGAUUUGGGAAGCAGGCCGUGCUCUGCGCAUGGUGUUCUAUGCUUCGGCUGCUGACGAAAAGAAGAGUGUCUCUGCGAGCACCUACUCAUUGUUUGUUGUGCUCAGUGAAGGAUUCAAAUGCUGCCUGAAACUUCCAGCAGCUUCUGGCUAGGGAAUCGUUCUGGGUCAUUAUCAUGUGAAAUCUGGAUUAUGAAANCUGUAAAAGC
rnacentral:lncRNA from 1 species